UAGCAGUCCAUCCGGCCAAUAGAUGGCGGUAUUGCACUGUUGUAGCAGGAGAAACAACAAGUUCUGCCAAGCGCUCACCAUUCUGCAGAAUAAGGAUCAGAACUUUACAGAGGUAAACUGUGUCUGUUCUUUUUACUAUUACAGCAGUUCAUCGUGGCCCUGUCAUUCGCCUCCUUCACCAAAGCUCAGUCAGGGACCUACAUGAAGAGUGCCAUCACUCAGAGAGACACUUUGACCUGUCCAGCUCUCUCAUCGGACUCAUAGACGGCAGCUUUGAGAUGGGUAUCAACAAUAACAUUAAGUUGCUUGAGAAUUCAUGUAUUUAAAACCAGAUACAGACUACAGUAUGAUCCAUUUUUUUUGUGGUUCAAUCAGAGUCUGCUCUCAAUACUGUCCAGUUUUAUAGUUGUUCCUAAUAAUUGAUUGACUGGCGUUUGUCCAUAACUCUACUGUCAAACCCCUAACAUUGUUGUACGUGAUGCUAUGUUGUUGCAGCCUAGUAUCCAAACUGAUAUGCCAUUUUUAGUUUAAAAAAAAACUGUGUUUAUCAUUUGCAAUUCCUGGCUACUGUAGUGUUGUGGUUUCUUGCAGGUAACCUGCUGUGGUCAGCCAUUUUUGGGCGAAGCUGCACCGGCCCAGGCUCAUUGCUAUGGGCUGUUUCCUCAUGGCUGUAGGAUCCUUCCUCACAGGCCUGCCACACUUCUUCAUGGGACGGUUGGAACCAGGUGCAGAGAAGAGACCAGAAGAUGAAGCAGUGGUUCCAACCAGUGUCUGCACCCCUCAAAGGCCCAUUUAACUGCCAAGAGCUCCCGGUUGCCUACAUCGUAGUUGCCUUCCGCUGGUCGAGAACCGCUUGGAGAGAAAGGCGCAUGGGUGCAGUUUCUUGUCCUCCUCGUUCGCUGUGAAAGGACCGCCCCAGCUCCGGUGUCCGAGGCGUCCACCUCUACCACAAAGGGACGAGUAGGAUCAGGAUGAACGAGGAUGGGUCCGGAGGUGAAACGUCCCUUGAGCUCUAUGAAUGCCCUGUCAGCCUCGGGAUUCCAGCAAAAACCUGCUUGAGUGAGGUGGGACAGGGCUGUAUGUGUUCCGGAAGGGUUUUUGGGGAAGAUCAGGAUGUCGUCGAGGUAAACAAAGACGAACCGAUUCAACAUUUCCCUAAGAGUGUCAUUGAUCAAUGCCUGAACGACUGCUGGUGAGUUAGAUAUUCCGAAGGUCAUGACUAGAUACUCAGUGACCACUGGGAGUGUUAAAGGCAGUUUUCCACUCAUCUCCCUGAUUCUCACCAGAUUUUAAGCGUUGCGGAGGUCCAGUUUGGUGAAGAAUUGGGCUCCUAGGGCCAACUCCAAGGCGGCGGACAUCGUGUAGGGGGUAACGAUUCUUGAUCGUAAUCCUUUUCAGCCCUCUGUAAUCGAUGCAAGGACUGAAGUUUGGGUCAGAGACAGAGAGACAAGGGAUGCGUUUAGACAGGCAGCCCAAUUAUGAUAUUUGUUCCACUAAUUGGUCUUUUGAACAAUCACAUUAGAUAUUUUCGCAUCAGCUCUUUUUCAGAGCAUAUCUGAUUGGUCAAAAUACAAAUUACUAAAAAAAAUGACUGAAUUGGGCUGCCUGUCUCAACGCAGCCAUAGAAACCUGGACAUGCUCCAACUGAAAUGUUCCCUCCUGUCAGUAAGUAGUAGUAAGUAAUUGCUGAUUGACAGUAAAGUAUUAUUUUGAUAUAUGGAAAAAAUAUGGUAUGCAAUUCCUAUGUAGAGAAGCUUCUCUGGUACUUGUUCAAUAUGACUUCAACUUUUAAAGGGUACUCUUUUUUUCUUUCUUUCUUUAUAUAUAUAUUUUUUAAAUUAACAAAUAUCAUCAAACAAAAGAGGAAUAGUCACAUGCAAACAAGCAUAAUAACAAACUAUUUAAAUUGCCAGGAAUCCUAAACAAACAAAUCAUAUCCAUUAAUAAUACAACAAGUUUGAAUUGCCUUUUUGUUUUUCAUUUUAGUUAAAAUGGUGCCAUAUUGUUUAAACUUAUUUAUAAAGUGAAAAAAGUUAGGUUUUGAAUUAGACCAUUUGCAUUUGUGAAUAUGAAAUGUACCUAGUAUUAUUAGCAGGUGAAUUAAAUAUACUACAUCUUUAUUUACGUUAGAAUUUCUGAAAUAAAUCAUUAUAUCAAAACGGUAUCAAAAUUCGGUAUGUCAAUCCAAAACAUUCUGCUAUAAAUACAGGUAAAAAACAAAUGCAAAAUGGUCUCCUCCAUUCCACAGAAAUUAGUUAUAUUCAAUAUUCAGCUUGUUUCACGCCCUGACCAUAGAGAGCCCUCGGGGUUCUCUAUGGUGUUUUAGGUCAGGGCGUGACUAGGGAAGUUUCUAGGUAUUAUAUUUCUAUGUUGGUGUGUGUGUAUGGUUCCCAAUUGGAGGCAGCUGAAAAUCGUUACCUCUAAUUGGGGAUCAUACUUAGUGUGUCCUUUUUCCCACCUGCGAUGUGGGAUAUUGUUUGUGUGAGUGCCUAUGUGCGCUAUGUGUUUCACGAUCGUUAUAGCUUUGUUGUUUUUGGAAGUUUCACUAUUAAAAUGUGGAACUCUACUCACGCUGCACCUUGGUCUAAUUAUUCAUACAACGGUCAUGACAGAAUAUCCCACCAUUACAGGACCGAGCCUUCCAGCGACAGUCCGGAGCCUUCCAGCGACGGUGUCCAGGCACGGCAUCCAGUCCCGCUCGAUGGCCGGAACCUUCCUCGGUGCCCAGUCCGGGUACGGCGUUCAGCCCCGCUCGAUGACCGGAACCUUCCUCGGCGUCGGUGCCCAGUCCGGCUCCACGGCCGGAUCCGCGAUCUGAGCGGGAGCUACGUCCCGCACCGGAGCCGCCACCGACGCUAGUUGCCCACCCUAACCCUCCCCAUCUAGUUUCAGGUUUUGCGGUCAGAGUCCGCACCUUUGGGGGGGGUACUGUCACGCCCUGACCAUAGAGAGCCCUCAGGGUUCUCUAUGGUGUAUAGGUCAUAGCGUGACUAGGGGGGUUUCUAGCGUUUGUAUGGUUCAACACACUCUGCGCCUUGGUCCGUCCAUUAUCACGACCAUGACACCUUAAGUCUGUUAAUACAGUUUUUUAUCUCAAUUUCAGAUAACUCAUCACAAAAAUCCCUGAAAUCAUUAUCUAUCUUCUUAGCAAUGUUUGCUACAUUGUCUAAGAUCCAUAUUGGAAGUUGGCUGGGCUAAUGUAUACAGAUUCUGAUAAAACUGGGCAACAUGCUGAGAGAUUUCUUUUGGAUUUUCAUUGGGAGUAUUAUUAAUCAUUCUUUUACAUAUGGAAGUCUUUUCGCCUGCCCUUUUUUCUAAAUUAAAGAAAUAUUUUGUAUUUUUCUCUCCCUCUUCCAUCCGUUUUCGUCUUGAUCUUACAAACGCUGCCCGGGCCUUUUCCUCGUAGAUACAGUCUAACUGCAUUUGCAAUGAUGAUAGAUUGUUCAUUUUCCAGUAACCUUUGCUAACUUUUUGUUGUUGACAAACCAUGCAUAUUUAUCUUUAUUGAGAUCCCUUUGUGGUCUGUUAAAAUUGAUGGUUCAAUCGAGCCUGUAUCAACCUUGUCAGCCAUAUCUUCAGAUAUCAGCCAGAAAUCUAUUUCGGGAUUGUAUAGAUACAUCUUUGGUACUCAAUGUAAACAUAAUUUUACCAGGGUUCUUAUGUCUCCAAAUAUCUAGAACACCUAACCUUAAGGAAUAUAUGUCUAUCUCACAAACAUAAUUGCUAUCCUUAGGAGGCCAUCUAUCUAGAUUAUCAUGUAAAACUGUAUUAAAUCUCCACCCCAUAUUACUUUUGCCAAUGAAAAUGUAGACAUAAUUUUACUUAUUUUCCUCUCAAUGUCUCUAAAUAAAAUACAGUUACUUGAUUUGUUAUUGGAAGCAUAAGUUUUUACAACAAUGAAUGGAACAUGGUUGACAUACUACCAAUAGUAUAAUCCAUCUCCCUGUAUUAUCUGCUUCAUGACUCAAUAUAUGACCCUUAAAGUUGCCUUUUAAAAGAGCGACACCUGCUGACCGAUUAGUACCAAAUAUCAUUCCCCCAUUGACACUUCCAAAACGCAGUAUCUGUGGAACAGGCAUGAGUUUCUUGAAUGAAAUAAAAGUCGUCACUCUUACCCUUACAAUACAAAAAUAAAGAUUUCCUUUUCAAAAUAUUACGGAUUCCCCUGGCAUUAAUAGAAAAAACAUAAAUGGACAUUUACUAUCACAGUGACUAUAUGAGGAAUAUUAAACUUGUAUACGUUCAAAUGAA